GAACCUAUACCCCCAUCCCUCCUGCCUCUCACCCCAAAGGACUUCUUAGGCUCCUGGCAUCCACAAACACUGAUAAAACUGCCACUGGGAGCAGACUGUAGGACAGAGGGUUUGGGUGGUGAGAAUAGCCCACUGCUAGGGGGGUAGGUAGGAAAAGUCCAGCCCUGAGACUGGGGCUAGCAACUGGGCCUUCUCAGCUCUGGGGCUGUGCUAUAUAAAAGUUUGAUUCACUGGUCUAACCUAGAUUGAUCUGAUUUGAGUGCACAUCAAUAUUUUAGAUGAGUUUCCACCAUUUUUAGACCAGUCAAUGCGCACUGAACUUUUGUGCCACCUAACUAGGGAUCUAAGGUCCAUACCUGGGUGAACUAAGUUAGAUUGGGUGGCCAUUUUUUAAGGCAAUCUAACCUCACCCAACCCCCCUGAAAGUCUGUACUUAGCCUCAGUGUCUUCACUCAAAGCUCCAUAGACCACCAGACAUUUAUUUUUUCAUAGUAUGUUGACAACAAAGGCAUUUGUCAAACCCACAACCAUGAGCUGAGGGGAAAUGCAACUCAGCGGAAGCACAACUGUCUACUGAUUGUGCUGAAGGAGAAUUGCAGCACGCUUCUAUUUUUUUGUUACAUAACCGGCAGCUCUUUUGUCUCUACUUAGAGUUUUUCCAGGCCUGUCUCUGCAUGGACUUGCAGAGUGCUCUGUAGGGUUUUAGCUGCAUGACUUUCACUGACAAUCAGAACCUGUGUGACAGUCUCAACAUAAAGCUUUCAGAAUGUACUAGUGAAUCUUGGGCUUGAAAGCACUUGCCAGGUAGUGGGACAUUUGGCCUUAUGCUUGCUUCAGCCUGGCCUAAAAUUUGGUUUAAUCUAUUUCAUUGGCAAAUACAGGGCAAAUGUUUUAGCUAGAUGAGUUGAUUUCCCUAGUUUUGUUUUGUGGGAUUUAUUACUUGCAUUGUCAGGGCAUUUGGGAUCCUGGGGUGUUGGGUUCUGUGCAAACAAGACAAAAAGAUAGAUUGGUCUUGCUCGAAUGGGCUUCUGAUUUGUGACUACCCUCUGCCUGUUGUACUAACUUAUACCUGCAGCUGAGGUCAGUCCAUACCCUGUGUGUUCUGAAAUCGCUCUCUCUCUGUGAAGCAGACCAUUCACCUUUUGUCCCCAGAAACUACUCUGUGGAUAUUAGGCUGUCUAUGAUAGCACCAUGGUUUCACCAUACUUAAUCAUUUCUGCUCUUGUUUCCUCAGCUUUGGUAGUCUCAUAGAUUCACUUGGUGUUUUUCUGCCUGCAGGUUUUUCUAAACAGAAGUAUUCAAAAGCUCUUCUGGAAGGCUCUCAUGCUGUAGUGAUUGGCACUACAUAUAGAACCUAUAUAGAACCUGUAUAGAACAGCAGUCACUCUUGUGGCUGCAACCAGAAGUGUGUGUAUGGCAGGAAACUAGGUAUUUAGCCUACUCAGAGCUCUGCUUUACCACGGCUUGACUGCCAGCAGCAUUUAAGCUGAUUAACUGUAAGUUAGUUUAUGAGCUAUUGUCACUGUUGUGACCACAGUCUAGACAUACCCUAAGAUAAGAUGUGAACAGCAGGUGCAAGCAAACAUAGGACAGAGCCAGAGAACAUAAAGAUGAAGGUAGACUGAAUUAUGUAUGCCAUUACAGAUGCAGUUGGGAAGGGAAUCCCAGGUGUGGAGGUCCAUGAAGGGAAGUGGAUGUGGUAAAAGAGCACAAAGGAGGCAGUGAAAUGAACAUGGACUGAGAAAAGAUUUGAGAGGGAGAGAAAAAGGAAACAAAUGCAGAGGAGUAAGAGAUAUUUUGCAAUAUCUUUUAUUGGACCAAUUUUAUACUAGGAAGCUAGUAUUAGACAAGCUUUUGGGCACAAGUUGCUUUUCCUCAGGUUGAAGUAAGGGGGAAUUAACUUGUACCAAGAAAUGAGGCUUGAGUUUGCUGCAGGAGGCAAGAAGGAGCUAGUAGGUGGGUUUUAGAAGGGGCUGUCAACAGCCAUAGCAUCAGGUGAAGCAGACGGAUUUUCUUGGACAGAUUAGCAGUGAGAGUUGGGGAGGUCAGAGAGGAAGAGGCAUUCGAGAAGUUUUGAGGUAACGAGAGCAUAGGCAUGUGGCUUGAAUGGAGCAAAUUGAGAGGAAAGGAUGGAUUUGAGAGAUGCUUCAGCCAGCAAGAUGUAAUGAUAACAAUUAUGUGGGAAAGAGAAAUUGAGUAGCACCAAGGCUGCAAACCUAUGGACCAUAGAGGGUGCUGGAAUAGGCAGAAAUUAAGUAAGAAGGGGUAGGAGGGUUAACUUUUGAAAAAAAAAGGUUAACUUUGGACACCUUGGGUUUGCACUGGCAAUGGGCUUUCCUGGGGGAGAUAACAUAGAUACAGUUGGGGGAUGUAACAGGGAACCCUAGCCCUGUUACCAGAAGGCAGGUCAGCCCUUUUAAAACCAGAACUUUCUGGGCACAGCAUGCUGGUAAGGCGGGGGGUUAAAAGCUGAGCUUGGCCAGCUAGUCAGCCGACCAGAAGGGGACAGGCCAGGACUAUAAAAACCCUGGUCUGGGCAGCAGUAGAUCCCAGCAGUCAAAGGGGAAAGAGUGUGUCCCAGAGCUCCCCGGAGAGUGGUCCAGUGGCUGCAGGACCACUGAGGACUCCCGGAGAAGCAGCAGCAAUCCCAGAAGGACUGUAGCAGACGGCGGGGGAGCAGAAGCAUGAACCCCUGAGAAACUGUAAGUUGGCAUGCUGCCUUCUUUAAUCAUAUUUUCUUGGUGGUGGUUAUAGCCCAUGGACAGGACGGUUCAUAUUUUCUUUUUUUGUUAUUGAACAACACUGGUGGUUUGGGUGAGGCUAUUGGGGAAGGAGGUGGCCUCAUUGGAGCCCCACUAUAGCGUGGGAACUCUGGCGGGGCAUAGGCUCAGCACCAGAGAGGGCAAACCUGAAAGGCCAUGGUGGCCUGGUACACCCAGGGUGCGACUGUGUAUGUGGUGUUUUUUUUUUCUUCUCUGAACUGGGACAUUGGAGGUCUGGGGCCUUUGCCCAGCUUUGAACUUGUGACCCCCCCAGCUGUGGGGCCAGUGGACAGGCCUCUGGGCCAGGGAGGCUGUGCUGCAGAUUAGAGCCAAAAAGAGGGCCAUGAGCCCCAAGACUAAAGAGCUAGAGCCUCGGAGUCAAACCCUAUCUGGUGGGUUUAGAUGGGGAGGCUUAGCUAGAGAAAGACUGGGGUCAAGGCAAGUGUUGGCAGAGGACCCCAACAUACAAAAACAAUAGGCAGUCCCCCGCUUAUAAUAUUUCCAUCACGGCGUGGCAGACGAAUAGAGAGUGGGAAACCUUAAGGAGACUCCAAGGGCACUCCAACAUAGGGUGCGGAUAAUGCAAAAUAUGGCGCUGGGGAGGGCGACCUGUUACAGGGGGCAUAUCUUAACCGUGGGAAAGACCUAAUUCCCUUCUAACUCAUGCAGUCCUGUAGCCCCUGCAUUCAGAUAGUAUAUUUGGGGCCAGUGCUGUCAGCUAGUUCUCCAAACUGUUUAAUGAAAUAUACCUCACUGUUUGAUUUCACCAUGCUGUCCUGUGACCUUUACUUAUAUAAACCAUAACAUUUGCUAUGCCUCUUCUCUAUACUACAAACUCAUUUCAUUUCUCAAAUCUAAACUUAACCAACCACAAAACCUAGCUACUUCCAGUGUGUAAUGGUCUACCUGUACCUAAACUAGUCAUCAGCUAAACCGACAGCUGAAUCAAGGUAAGCUGGGCAGGGCAGGGAGGAAGAGGGAGAUGGAGGUAGGCCAGCUGUAGGGAAUCAGGAAGGGGUUUUCCUCCCCUACCACCCCUAUUUGGCUGCGCUGGGUGGGUGCCGCACUCCCGAGCCAUGUGAACAGGCCCUGCAAACAGAUGUGUUCUUUAGGGGCAUGCCGGAGUUUGUGUGGGAGUGGGCACGGGUGAGGAGUAACCAGGAGAGUAACAGGCCCCUAGGGGGAGAGGGGACCACUUACCGGGGAUCCAGGGGUGACGGUAGCUCCUCCUGGGGGCAAAGUUCCCUUGGGGGAGGGGCUGCUGGCAGACUCUUCUGCGCAAGUGCAGGGCUAGCCACACCUACACGGAACAGCUGAGAACAGCUGAGUGGCUGUUAAAAAAACCGUGGGAGAUUCAAAUCCCUGCCAGUCAGGCUUGAAUGCUGAAGAAGGCACAGGUGUGUGUCAGCAAACAUGAGCCCUUGGCUCCUCCCAACCACAUCAAGCAGAGUAGCGAGCAAGGAGCUGACAGCUGAAUCAAGAUAAGCCAGGCAAGGCAGGGAGGAAGAGGGAGAAGGAGCCAGGCUAGCUGGGCGAGCUAUAGGGAAUCGGAAAGGGGUUUUCCUCCCCUUCCGCCCCUAUUUGGCCAUGCCAGGUGGGAGCCAUGUGAACAGGCCCCGCAAACAGGCGUGCUCUUUAGGGAUGCGCCAGAGUUUGCACGGGAGUUUCCACAGGGGGGCGAGCAGCUGGGGCCUGAGACUCCACGUGUUAGAGUCAACGGCUUUGGACAGAGUCUCCAGAGUUUUUAGGUGAGUGCACAUGAGGGAGUGUUAAUGGGGAUGGUGACUCGGAGUGCAGCCAGGGAUCCUGUUCCAAUGCUGCCUCCUGCUCAGGGCUCCUCUGAGGCCUCCACCCAGACAGAGCCUUUGGGUGGGUCAGUGGCACCCAGGUCCCCUGCCUGAAGGGAUGCCUGGCGGGUUCUUAGGAGCCCAGGGGCAGUGGGAUGGCCAGGAGUCCCCUCACCUGUCCCACAUGUGCCCAGACUCAGGCCCUGGAGGGGCAGGUGAGAGAACUCCAGACAGAGGUUGGUAGACUGUGUGGGAUCAGAGCCAUUGAGGAUGAGAUUGAUGGGUACUUCCACCCUUUGCAGGAUCACUCAAAUGGUGAGAUGGCAACAAAAGAGGGACCUGACACAGGCAGAUGGAAGGCAGUCACCUCUAGUUCUAGACGAUGCAGAAUUAGACCUUGCAUUGCUGGAACAACUCCAGUGCAGCUGGGGAACUGAUUUGGGGCCCUGGCAUUGCUGGAAAUGAGUGCAGCUAUGGAAGGUGCAGUAAUGGAGGCCACACCCACAACUACCACCAAGCAGGCUUUGAGGCAGCAGAGCAACCAGAGGAGAAGACAUCGGGCCAUGGUCCAAGGAGGCAAGAAUGCAUCGAUGAGGUGAACUGGCAUCUCCAACAGUGGUGCCACCAAGAAGGCUUCGGCUCCUAUGACCACGAUGCCCACUUCAAGGACAGAGGACUCCUGGGGAGAGAUGGCAUCCACCUCAUGCGGAAAACCUUUCAGCAAAUGGAGUUGCAACACAGAAGGAAGGCCUGAGUCCAUGUGGAUGGUAUUUCUCCAGGUGCCUUUUAUCUGCAAUCAACAGAGCUGCACUGAUAGAAAACCAGAGGGACAAAGUACUAGUUAACUUUUUUUUCCUUUGUCUCUAAUAAUUAUUUUUCUUUACCCCGCUGCUCCCUAGUGCAUGCAUUUGUCUUGGCUUCUGUAGAGACCAGAUCAAGGAGGUUUAAGAGUGUUUGUUAAAACAAAAAUGUACUUUAUCUUUUCCAGGCAAUAACUGUUUUAAGCUUUGUUCUCCCUUUGCAAUAAACCUUCCAAUAUUUCACAUAAACUCCAACCUCAUGGUUCUAAAG